rnacentral:rRNA from 1 species
UACGAGGGGGGCGAGCGUUGUUCGGAUUCAUUGGGCGUAAAGGGUGCGUAGGCGGCGCGGUAAGUCGGGUGUGAAAUCUCGGAGCUUAACUCCGAAACUGCAUUCGAUACUGCCGUGCUUGAGGACUGGAGAGGAGACUGGAAUUUACGGUGUAGCGGUGAAAUGCGUAGAUAUCGUAAGGAAGACCAGUGGCGAAGGCGGGUCUCUGGACAGUUCCUGACGCUGAGGCACGAAGGUCGGGGGAGCAAACGGG